UGCUGGCGGAGUGAGUAUCAGUGUCGUCACCUGCCUAGCAUAACGACCCGGAGAACAUGUUUCAACGCUUGGGGGCGGAGGGUCUUGCGGCUCUGCGCCCCCUUAUCCCAGGAGGCAAGUGUCUUGCGUGUUGCAUUUCGGUGCUCUCGCUCGACCGACCCUCCUGGGCGUACCGAACACCGGCGUGAAUUGCGCCAAGGAACUUGAAUGAAAGAGCGUUCCCCCGCCGUCCCGGAGACGGUGCUCGUGCGGGUGGUUUCGUCGUCUUCAAUAUGUCUAAACGACUCUCGGCAACGGAUAUCUCGGCUCUCGCAUCGAUGAAGAACGUAGCGAAAUGCGAUACUUGGUGUGAAUUGCAGAAUCCCGUGAACCAUCGAGUCUUUGAACGCAAGUUGCGCCCGAAGCCAUUAGGCCGAGGGCACGUCUGCCUGGGGUGUCACAUGUUGUUCCCCCCCCCAACCCCCUCGGGAGUUGGAUGGGACGGAUGAUGGCCUCCCGUGUGCUCAGUCACGCGGUUGGCAUAAACUCCAAGUCCUCGGCGACCAGCGCCACGACAAUCGGUGGUUGUCAAACCUCGGUUUCCUGUCGUGAGCGCGUCAGAUCGAAUGCUCUCCUAAACAAUGCGGUGGAACUGUCGAACAUCAAUGUCUCUGCGCGGCGCAUGACUAAG
rnacentral:rRNA from 1 species